UUAAACCACCACCACACUCCUUCCCCCGCCACUUCCUUCCCCCACCCCCUUCCUCCGUUGCACCAGCAGCAGAGUCGCACGCAGCAAAUACUCCUUCAAGAAUUUUACCUACCUACAGCUCAAGCAAUUACUGGGAUGUCCUGACUAAUCGAAGAUGCUGCCGCGCGCGUGGGUCGCUCAGCGCAAGGGCCUCUUCGAAAACCCGACUAGGCGCAACUCAGUGUUCAGCAGGGCCGGGCGCGCCAGGUCGCCCCCGGGGCCCGGGCCCCAGGACUCCUGCCCCAAAGCCCACUCCACCCGACCUCCCUUUCCUGAGGCUAUUCCUAGUUGCUGCUUUGGGUCGCUCCGGAGCUCAAGGGCUCGGGUUGCCUGCCGCCCCACUCUCCACGCACAAACUUGGUUUUCUUCUUAGGGGCACUUGCAGGUAGACUUUGAGGAAGAAAAGUAAAGGAUCGAGCAGCUCAGGCCUCCCUCCCGACCGUUGAUGCCCGGAGUCGACCAACACCUCAGGUCCGGGUGCGGAGGCCGCGGGCGCCCCUGCGCGACCGUCCGCUCCCGGCAAGAGACGCGCGGCUUUCGCCUUUGCUGGUCCCGCGCCACCGCUGGGGCGGGCUGCGAAAGGGUUGGGGAGAGCAAAGGGUUUUUUUGUUUUGUUUUGAGACGCAGAAGCCCUUUAAAAAGCCCGGCGAGGAGAGGUCCAGAAGUAGAGAAAGCAGAGGGAGGCAAGCUGUGCCCGCGGGGCAAAGGGACAGUGGAAGGGGCGGGCGCCCGGGUUCCCCGGAAAACCCUCGGCCCCAAGGAAUCUCCUGGGGCGGGAGAGCGCGGUUCUAAAACCGAGAGGAUAGGAAGGGGAAGGGGGAGUUGUGUUUCAAUUUCGGAUUCACCAGGAUUCAUCUCUAAUCACAUUUUUCUUCUAAAAUUUUUAAAUCGAAAAGAUAAAAGCCAAAAGAACUUUUAUCCCCAGAAUUUUUUAUUGGGGGAAAGGAAUGCAACUCGGGGUGGUUGUCCUUCACUUCCCUACCCAAAUCUUCUCCUAAUGCCGAAAUGUGUUUACAGGUAGCCUCAGUUUACCAAGUAUGUAUCUUUUAGGGGUUUAACCUCUCACAAAGCCUUCAACUCACAAACCGCGAUCCUUGAAAACCAUCCUCCAAAGCAGUGCUUAGGAGGCGUCUAAGGCCCCCGGACCAACUCCCGCUGGAAGAAGCCUGCAGGGACCCGUGAAUCACUGGAGCCUUUCCCGUCGGUUCCGGGCCUGGAGGGCCAGGAAGAGCCGCGCGUCCGCCUUUCGUCCCGCCAGUAACUCCCCAUAGGACACGACACCGCAGGAACAAGCGUCCUGGGAGCCCCUGGGAUCCUGGCUGUGGUCUCUACGGACCCUACACCGUGAAAUGAUAGAGGGGAGGCUCCUUGGGUUCCGCAAGUCGACGAAAAUAGCUCGUGGAGAAGGCGCGUCCUGCAACUGCAGUUCGCAAGCUCUCAGGGCGCCCCGCCAGCUAGGGGCCAGACUGGGUGACACUCCCCUCGACGCAGCCUCCGGAGCGGCGCGCACUCCCAGAGGCCAGUAGGACUGCGCUCUCUACCGCAGAACCAGCUCCAGCUAGGUGUUCUCUCCCCAUCUCGCCGUCGCUCUGCCCCCUCACUCUCUCCGGACCUCAGAGCCGGCUCUCUACUUCCUCCUCCCGCCCUUUCCGUCCGGGGAUCGCAACCUCCAGCCCGUGGGCAACGCGUUCAGCCCAAGACCCCACAGUUUUUCCCAGCGACCCCCUACCAAGGGCUUCUCUUGUUUCUGCUCUCCUGCCCCCGCACUUCCCAAAGUGUGUGGGAACAGUGUGACCUGAACAAGAACGUAGUGUCACUAUAGGAUGAGUGACACUUGGAAGCAGAGGCAGAGUGCUACAUGGACACCUGACUGUACCAAAUGGUUAUUGUGGUUUCCCAAUCAGAUGCCAAUUGUGGAAUACCAGCUGAUAUUCUACCCUCAAUUCAUGCUAAAAGCUUUCUAGGCUUUCUCAAGGAAACCUGUCCAAAGGGAUAUGUGAUCCAAGGAAUUAUUAUUGUAUAAGUAAAACUUGGAUGUUUUUACUAAUAGUUCACAUAUUUCACAGCCCUUUGGUGGAGAGCCUUUUUCAUUAAUGUUCUGUUCAAGAAUAAUUGCAUAGUAUUUAUAAUCCUCUCAGGGAUUAAGUAUAGAUGUGAUAUACAACUCAAAGAUGCUUGUUGAUGUUCACUUUGUAAAAAUUCAUCAAGUUGUAUAAUUGAUAUUUGUGCACUUUCUUUUUGUGUUAUAUAUUUUUGAAUUAAAUGCUUAUAGAAACUA